rnacentral:rRNA from 3 species
UGGUGGGUAGUUUGACUGGGGCGGUCUCCUCCUAAAGAGUAACGGAGGAGCACGAAGGUUGGCUAAUCCUGGUCGGACAUCAGGAGGUUAGUGCAAUGGCAUAAGCCAGCUUGACUGCGAGCGUGACGGCGCGAGCAGGUGCGAAAGCAGGUCAUAGUGAUCCGGUGGUUCUGAAUGGAAGGGCCAUCGCUCAACGGAUAAAAGGUACUCCGGGGAUAACAGGCUGAUACCGCCCAAGAGUUCAUAUCGACGGCGGUGUUUGGCACCUCGAUGUCGGCUCAUCACAUCCUGGGGCUGAAGUAGGUCCCAAGGGUAUGGCUGUUCGCCAUUUAAAGUGGUACGCGAGCUGGGUUUAGAACGUCGUGAGACAGUUCGGUCCCUAUCUGCCGUGGGCGCUGGAGAACUGAGGGGGGCUGCUCCUAGUACGAGAGGACCGGAGUGGACGCAUCACUGGUGUUCGGGUUGUCAUGCCAAUGGCACUGCCCGGUAGCUAAAUGCGGAAGAGAUAAGUGCUGAAAGCAUCUAAGCACGAAACUUGCCCCGAGAUGAGUUCUCCCUGACCCUUUAAGGGUCCUGAAGGAACGUUGAAGACGACGACGUUGAUAGGCCGGGUGUGUAAGCGCAGCGAUGCGUUGAGCUAACCGGUACUAAUGAACCGUGAGGCUUAACCUUACAACGCCGAAG